UUCUGGUCUUGGUGCGGACGGACGAUAGUCUUCAGCGACCGUGCCAUUUGAAAACCCUUUGGGUCGGUGGGACUUUCGUCCGUUUGUAACCGCCAGUUGCAACGA
rnacentral:pre_miRNA from 14 species